UCCCUGGUGGUCCAGUGGUUAGGACUCCAUGCUCUCACUGUGGGGGCCCUGGUUGGAUCCCUGGUCAGGGAA